CCCAGGAGGCGCGGCCGCGGCCGUAGGAGCGGGCUGCGGAACAAAGAACUUCGAGCGGGACGUACCUGCGGCGGCAGCGGCUGUCAAGUCCCUGAACUUCCCAUAGACCCGCGGACUGGGCGCGGGCGGGCGGCUCCGGGCUCCGCGCGGCCGCGGGCGGCUCGGGCUACCGCGAGCGGCGGGGCUGGGCGCGGGGUGCGCCCGCCGCGGGCAUGGUGCGGCGCGGGUGGCCGCGGGGCGCGCGGGGAAGGCGGGAGAGCGGCGCGGGCGAGUGGGAGCGGCGGGUGUGCGCGAGUGCGAGUGUGCGAGCGCGCCGGUGGCGCUGCCCCUGCCCGCUCCCUCCCGCUCGUGCAGCUCCGGCAUCAGUUUCGGGGAUCGUGUAAUCCGAUCCCUUCUGACUCACAGGCCCUGAGUGACAGUUCUGAUUUGGUUCAACUGCGGGAGGGAGGGGAAAGAGAAAGAAAGAAACCCCCAGCCGUACGCCUCUCCUGGCAUCCAAUCGAGUUUCUGGAAAAAGGUCCCAUCCCAGCCUGGAACCCCGCGCUGGGUGGAGAAGCCCCCAGGCCCGACCCCGCGCCGCCUGCGCUACUCACGGGGUGGAAAAGUUGUCCCUCGGCUCCGCGCUCCCCUCCCGCGCGCUCCCUCCUUCCCUCCUCUCCUCCUCUUCCUCCUCCUCCCCGUGCUCCUCCUCCCCCAAGUUUUAACAGAUGUUGCCGGACUCUCCCCACUCCCUCGCACUCCCUCUUCCUCCGCCCUCACCCCCGCCCCGUCCCUUUUCUUUCAGCCACUCUCUGGCUGAGAGGACGCGCUGAGCAGCAGGACGCCUGCCGCCGCAGGGGGCGAAGUUGGGAAAACUUGGAGUGCUGCUCGCCUUACUUUUGCUUUCUCGCUCCUUCCAGGCCGUGCCGGGGGCCCGCGCUUCUCCCGCCCGCCAGGUCCCCAAGCCCGAGUAGGUCCCAGCUGCGAGGCGGGCGGCGGCGGCGGCGGCGGGGAGGCGGCGCGUCGCGGGCCGGGGUCGGGGGCUCGGGGGGGGGGAGCCCGGGCGCCGCGAGCCACGCGCGCGCUCCCUCCCCGCCCUCCGCCUCCUCCGCCCCUCCCCGGUCUUCACAUAGACACAUUCAAGUCUGCUCCUCCUCUUCCCCCUCCUUGACCCCGCGCCCGCCCGGCGCGCCGAGGCCCCACCCACCCGGCGAGGGGAAGGGGGCCCAGGCGUGA
rnacentral:lncRNA from 13 species